rnacentral:misc_RNA from 1 species
AGCAGCCGCGGUAAUUCCAGCUCCAAUAGCGUAUAUUAAAGUUGUUGCAGUUAAAAAGCUCGUAGUUGAAUUUCGGGAUUGACGUGAUGGUCGUGCCUUACGGGGUAUGAACUGUUGCAGUCAAUUUCUCACCUUCUGGAGAAAUAUGAUGUCCUUAAUUGGGUGUCAUAUGGAACCAGAACUUUUACCUUGAAAAAAUUAGAGUGUUUAAAGCAGGCUUAUUGCUCGAAUACAUUAGCAUGGAAUAAUAAAAUAGGACGGCAUGGUUCUAUUUUGUUGGUUUCUAGGAUCACCGUAAUGAUUAAUAGGGAUAGUUGGGGGCAUUAGUAUUCAAUUGUCAGAGGUGAAAUUCUUGGAUUUAUUAAAGACUAACUACUGCGAAAGCAUUUGCCAAGGAUGUUUUCAUUAAUCAAGAACGAAAGUUAGGGGAUCGAAGACGAUCAGAUACCGUCGUAGUCUUAACCAUAAACUAUGCCGACUAGGAAUCAGACGAUGUUAAUUUUUUAAUGACUCGUUUGGC